rnacentral:rRNA from 1 species
AUUGAACGCUGGCGGCAGGCCUAACACAUGCAAGUCGAACGAGUGGCGGACGGGUGAGUAAUGUCUGGGAAACUGCCUGAUGGCGGGGGAUAACUACUGGAAACGGUAGCUAAUACCGCAUACCAUCGGAUGUGCCCAGAUGGCAUUAGCUAGUAGGUGGGGUAAAGGCUCACCUAGGCGACGAUCCCUAGCUGGUCUGAGAGGGUGACCGGCCACACUGGAACUGAGACACGGUCCAGACUCCUACGGGAGGCAGCAGUGGGGAAUAUUGCACAAUGGGCGAAAGCCUGAUGGAGCAAUGCCGCGUGUGUGAAGAAGGCCUUCGGGUUGUAAAGCACUUUCAGCGGGGAGGCGUUACUCGCAGAAGAAGCACCGGCUAACUCCGUGCCAGCCGCCGCGGUAAUAC